CUCAGAUGAAACGCUGGCGGCAUGCCUACACAUGCAAGUCGAACGGCAGCGCGGGGCAACCUGGCGGCGAGUGGCGAACGGGUGAGUAAUAUAUCGGAACGUACCCUGGAGUGGGGGAUAACGUAGCGAAAGUUACGCUAAUACCGCAUACGAUCUAAGGAUGAAAGCAGGGGACCGCAAGGCCUUGUGCUCCUGGAGCGGCCGAUAUCUGAUUAGCUAGUUGGUGGGGUAAAGGCCUACCAAGGCAUCGAUCAGUAGCUGGUCUGAGAGGACGACCAGCCACACUGGAACUGAGACACGGUCCAGACUCCUACGGGAGGCAGCAGUGGGGAAUUUUGGACAAUGGGCGCAAGCCUGAUCCAGCAAUGCCGCGUGAGUGAAGAAGGCCUUCGGGUUGUAAAGCUCUUUUGUCAGGGAAGAAACGGUGGAGGCUAAUAUCCUUUGCUAAUGACGGUACCUGAAGAAUAAGCACCGGCUAACUACGUGCCAGCAGCCGCGGUAAUACGUAGGGUGCAAGCGUUAAUCGGAAUUACUGGGCGUAAAGCGUGCGCAGGCGGUUUUGUAAGUUUGUCGUGAAAUCCCCGGGCUCAACCUGGGAAUGGCGAUGAAGACUGCAAGGCUAGAAUCUGGCAGAGGGGGGUAGAAUUCCACGUGUAGCAGUGAAAUGCGUAGAGAUGUGGAGGAACACCGAUGGCGAAGGCAGCCCCCUGGGUCAAGAUUGACGCUCAUGCACGAAAGCGUGGGGAGCAAACAGGAUUAGAUACCCUGGUAGUCCACGCCCUAAACGAUGUCUACUAGUUGUCGGGUUUUAAUUAACUUGGUAACGCAGCUAACGCGUGAAGUAGACCGCCUGGGGAGUACGGUCGCAAGAUUAAACUCAAAG
rnacentral:rRNA from 1 species